CCCUUGGGAAGUUCUCGUGUUGCAUCCCU
rnacentral:rRNA from 1 species